GACGUAGGGCGCGAGCGUUGUCCGGAUUUAUUGGGCGUAAAGAGCUCGUAGGCGGCUUGUCGCGUCGUCCGUGAAAACCCACAGCUCAACUGUGGGCUUGCGGUCGAUACGGGCAGGCUAGAGUUCGGUAGGGGAGAACGGAAUUCCUGGUGUAGCGGUGAAAUGCGUAGAUAUCGAGAGGAACACCUGCGGCGAAGGCGGGUAGCUGGGCCGACACUGACGCUGAGGCGCGAAAGCUAGGGGAGCGAACGGG
rnacentral:rRNA from 1 species